rnacentral:rRNA from 1 species
GCUGGCGGCGUGCCUAAUACAUGCAAGUCGAGCGAACGGACGAGAAGCUUGCUUCUCUGAUGUUAGCGGCGGACGGGUGAGUAACACGUGGAUAACCUACCUAUAAGACUGGGAUGACUUCGGGAAACCGGAGCUAAUACCGGAUAAUAUUUUGAACCGCAUGGUUCAAAAGUGAAAGACGGUCUUGCUGUCACUUAUAGAUGGAUCCGCGCUGCAUUAGCUAGUUGGUAAGGUAACGGCUUACCAAGGCAACGAUGCAUAGCCGACCUGAGAGGGUGAUCGGCCACACUGGAACUGAGACACGGUCCAGACUCCUACGGGAGGCAGCAGUAGGGAAUCUUCCGCAAUGGGCGAAAGCCUGACGGAGCAACGCCGCGUGAGUGAUGAAGGUCUUCGGAUCGUAAAACUCUGUUAUUAGGGAAGAACAUAUGUGUAAGUAACUGUGCACAUCUUGACGGUACCUAAUCAGAAAGCCACGGCUAACUACGUGCCAGCAGCCGCGGUAAUACGUAGGUGGCAAGCGUUAUCCGGAAUUAUUGGGCGUAAAGCGCGCGUAGGCGGUUUUUUAAGUCUGAUGUGAAAGCCCACGGCUCAACCGUGGAGGGUCAUUGGAAACUGGAAAACUUGAGUGCAGAAGAGGAAGGUGGAAUUCCAUGUGUAGCGGUGAAAUGCGCAGAGAUAUGGAGGAACACCAGUGGCGAAGGCGACUUUUUGGUCUGUAACUGACGCUGAUGUGCGAAAGCGUGGGGG